rnacentral:rRNA from 1 species
GGCGGCGUGCUUAACACAUGCAAGUCGAACGAAGCACCUCUAAUCGAAGAUUGAGAAGCUUGCUUUGAUUGAUUCACCUUGAGGUGACUGGGUGGCGGACGGGUGAGUAACGCGUGGGUAACCUACCUAUACAGGGGGAUAACAGUUGGAAACGACUGCUAAUACCGCAUAAGCGCACAGGACCGCAUGGUCUAGUGUGAAAAACUCCGGUGGUAUAGGAUGGACCCGCGUCUGAUUAGCUAGUUGGUGAGGUAACGGCUCACCAAGGCGACGAUCAGUAGCCGACCUGAGAGGGUGACCGGCCACAUUGGGACUGAGACACGGCCCAAACUCCUACGGGAGGCAGCAGUGGGGAAUAUUGCACAAUGGGCGAAAGCCUGAUGCAAGCGACGCCGCGUGAACGAAGAAGUAUUUCGGUAUGUAAAGUUCUAUCAGCAGGGAAGAAAAAUGACGGUACCUGACUAAGAAGCUCCGGCUAAAUACGUGCCAGCAGCUGC